UGAUUUAAAGAUUCGGAUCUCACAUACAUCCGAGUUCAAACACGGAAAAUUUACAUUGAAUAUUAUUGCUAAUAGCGAAGCAGACCUUACAGUUAGCAUAUACAAUUUGUUUCUCUAGAAGGUUCUUUACAUGACCCUCAACUACCAACCUACACUGCUAUGGAAUGUUUACUUAUUGUUUACCAUGCGACUGGCGCUGGGGGAUUCGCCAAAAAAAUGUUGCUUGGGGAUUUUGAAUCUGCAGUAUUUGCUAAUAAAUCACAGAAGUUAAGUACCGGUGUACACAUAGUACUUUGUUUAUCACGUUUCAUUCAUCUUAGAACCAUCAUUACACCUGAUGGAUAAUUUGUACCUUAGACAAUGCAUGAGGGUCAAUCUAAGGCUGCAAUCACUUGGACUUUCUACAUUAUCAAAGUUGUUUCCUGCCAAAAUAGACACUUCACCUGAAAAAGAAAAGCCCAAGCAUAUUAGUGAAACUCUGAAUCUGAAUACCAUCCUGAAGAGGACGAUACCAGUGAAGGAGAUUCGUCUGAGAAAAUUUAUAAGCACCAAAGAGUUUGAGUCCACUACACCUGCUAGCUCAAAAUCUAAGGUGAUAAUUAAUCCAUCUAGUCAGGGCUAAAUACGUUGCAUCUUUUCUAAUGCAACAUAAUUUUUGCCGUGCUGUGUUGUUUGAUCCAUUUCUAUCAGAGCUUGAAGGGCACCAAGAUGACUACCCAAAAAACUAGCAAGAAAAGAUUUACUGACAUGUCUCCUAGUGGAAUCAAGUAUUGGCAUCCCAAGAGUACUUGCAGACAUGCCAACUAAUACUACAGCUAGAAGGUUGAACAACAAACUAGUACAAGAUGGCGAUGCAAGUAGUCAAAGAGAAGGGAUGACAGACCCUACACGCGUGACAUCAACGGCAUCCAUGUGUUUUAUGGCUUGUGUUGGCCAAGCUGAAGAAAUGAUUUGCAACGUUGAUGACCACACACAACAUAGUCUUGAACGCAAGUACCAAUCAAAUUCCCACUUACUUUUUAUAUUCAGAAAAGUCUUAUAUUGAGUAUUUCCUUGAUAUCUCCUUUUCUUUUUAUAAUUGGCAUUAUUGCUAUCCAUUUCUUAUGAUUAAUAUCAUACAAUGCUGACCAUUGUCUUUAGACAUGGCUCAGUCAAGAAUAUCCAUAAAGUUUCAUGCUCCAUAUGUGUAUCUAUUUAUUCAUGGUAAUAAUGGUGCUACAGAAUUCCAUGCUGCAUAUGUUAUAAAUAACCAAUAAUAUAGAUUUAUUUGUCUCACAAACGCGAGACCUGUCCAUUAGCUUUUAUUGCAUGAUUAAUGCACUCUUAGUAGUUGCCUUUUUUCCUGAAAAUUGAUGACCUUGUCCAUCUCGAUGAACACUUGUAUGGACAAUGGAAGUAAUAUCGUUGCCCAACCUGAUGAGCACCACUAGAUGGUCAACAAAGCUGGUGGUAGUGCCCAACCUGAUCAUCAAACUCAACCUAACAGUGUCUCUGAAGGCAUGUUAUAACACCUUCAAUCUUUCUAGCAUGCUAUUUAAGAUUAAACUUUUACCUGUAUACUCUAUUGUUCCAUGCAAGGAUGUAUUGGUCUAUUCAGUAGCUAUUGUAUGUACUGACUUUUAUGUACAUCUAAAAAACCCAUAGCGAUUAGCCAUGAGAUGAAAUAUUAGAAUCUGAAUCCAUCAAUUCAAUCAUAUAUGCUUAAUCUAAAUCAUAAAUUUACAUCCUGUUUAGAUUCUAAAUUUAGCAAUUCCAUCAUAUAUGCUUAAUUUCCUGGACAUUCGUCUUGAUAUCCUUCAAGUCAUGGUUAUGGAAUGCAAUAUGAUACCAUUGUGGGCACUGCUUGUGAUCGGACCUGGCUUUGCUAUUGUAUUUGAUCUCUAGUUUCUGCUGAGUUUUUGCAACUGCAUGGCAAACAACCAUUUGUAGUUCCUUGUGCUAAAUACCAAAAGAAAGUGAUUUUUUACUUACUUGCACUGCACCCAGAAUUGAUUAAGCUUGUGAAAAUGUCCCAUUACCAUUGUUCAUGUGUUUAUCUGCUAUAUUGUCAACUAAUUCACCUUGUGAGAUCAUCUACUGGUGCAUAGAUCACUAGCUCCUCUUAUCACUUCCUUGCGCUGUCAUUCUCUCUUUGAUUGUUGUUUCCAUUCAACCACUAAUAUAUUGUCUUUGCUAUUUUCUUAGCUUAAUCAAUGUUGUUUUUUCUUAUUUGUAGAUAUACAAUUACUAGAGGAGCAAUUGGAAAGGGAAACAAUAUAGGAGAAAGUCUCAAUAGGAUCAGUCGAUCUUGGCGAACCGAAAUGUAGCUCAUCAUUCCAGAAGGAAAUAUAAGGCCAGAGGUACCUCUUUCUUGCUGCAAAGUUUUAAAUUGAAUGCAUUAUCACUAUCAGAAACCCUAUGCAUGUGCUUGAGCACUAGAAGGAUCUAAGAAAAAGGAUAGCGCUGGAUCAUCCGUGACUUUGUUGGCAAAGUUGCUGUAAGUAUAGUCCAGGCCUUUCCCCUCUUCCAUGGCUAGCAAUAUGUCAGUUAUGAGAUAUUGUGAUAAUUAUUUAUUGUCUUCCUUCUCGAUAGAUAACUUUUCAUAUGAACACAGCUGCACCAGUUAUGAAGGCUUGUACCCAAAUGAUGAAGUCUGUUGUCUGUAAAGUGACGCGGGCUCAAACAAAAGUAUUUUAAUCCAUUCCCAUCCAUUUCGGUGAUGAGAAUUUCUCUUGGCAAAUCAAUGACUAAUGACCAGUUGAAUGCCCCUGUGGGAAGCUGGAAGGAUCCAAAAAAGAUGGUAUAUUUCUUCCUGAAAACCAAACUCUUGCUUCUACACGCUAACCUACAAAGUGCCUUACAUGUAUUUUGGUCUUUUGAUAUAGGAGGUCUGUGAAAAUAAUAAAUCUAACUGAGCUCAAGUUUAGUUUCAUGAAACAACUGGUUUGCUUAGCUGCCCUGUGCACUGUGAUAAUUUGGGAGAAAAAUACAAAGAUGACGAACCCAGUACAUUGGAUUUGUUUUAGGAGUGCCACUACAGCAGCAAGAAAUGCUACGCACCGAGCUGCAAUUGCAAGUCAACAUUCAAAGAUUUUUAAUGGUAUCACAAUGCCUACCAUUUUCUAUAGAUCCAGUAGUACAAUAAUCAAUAAUUGUAAAGUCAGCCUAUAAGAAGUAGAAGAAUAAUUUAACCUUGAAAAAAUUGAGCAUAUAUCACUUUAAAAUGACUAGAUUUCCUUUCUGUACUAUUAUUUGUUUCUUACAUGAAUAUGACCUAUUUGGCAACUGUUAAUAAUUUUACGACACAUUAAUAUAUAUAUAUAUCUUAUCUACAAAAACAACAAUUCAUACCUGCUCCCAAUAUAUUUUAUACAGUUUGUGCAGUUUUCAUGAUUGUGUAUCAUGUAUGCCUAUGCUAUAUUUGUUUCCAUCAAAUUUUGGAGGAUUACCUGAACAUGAAUACAUGAUCUUUUGCAUAACUAGAUGUCUAUCUGUACAUACAUAGUCACACCACGCCUCCACAUUGCUAGCCACAUACAUAGUGGGAUCAAACCCAGGGAGAUCACCAAUUUUUCUUCUAUUCUUGUGGUAAAGUUUUCUCAUAAUAUUAUAACCAUGCUUCUUGCUUGCACUGCUUGACUCAAAUGGAAAAGGUGUCUACAUACAGAAGAUGCACAACAACCAACCUCUGAACAAAAUUCUAGCUGAUGUGCUUGCCAAGCGCACCAAUAAGACCAGUUUUCUUCCAACAUGUGGGGAUCCAACAUGAGUGUGAGGGAAUUAGUGGAAGCAGCCUUGAAGCAGAACUUGUAGCGGAGAAGAAAGGAAAUGCCGAGCUUCGCGCCUUUGUUGAUACCUUGACUCAAAGACAUCAAGGAUCAUGCAAGAUGAGAAGAACAUGAAGAAGCAAGUUGAGAUGGAUGUGAAAAUUGAGUUUUUGCUAGCCAAAUGCGAUCAAGUUCAGUUAUAGGUUAAGGUGGUUGUUGAAGCAUAGUAUUACUGGAAGUUGGUGCUAACAUGUGUAAUCUUCUACUGGUGCCAUGCUUUUGCUGAUGAUCAAGUAAUGCUUUGCCAGCAUGCAUUCUGUUGAUGGAUGAAUGAAUGCAAGCAUUUUUAUUAAGGUAGUUUGUUGUACUGGAGUGAUGGUAGAUUCAUGUUAUGCUGGAUCAAAAAUUGAUAUUGUUGUUA